UACUACCUCCGUUCCUUUUUAAUUGUCACAUUUUAACAUUUUACACAAACCAAGACAAUCAAUAAAUGUUGCUACUUUUGAUACAAUAAUUUCUAUUUUUACUUUAAUAACCUUAUUUAUUUAAUAUCUCAUUACAUAUAUUUCUCUCUCCACAAUAAUAAAUAAGGGUAAUAUUAGUAAAGUAACAUUUAAUGUUGCAUUGAACUAUGUAAAGUGACACUUAAAUAGGAACAAAAAAAUUCUCCAAAAGAGACACUUAAAAAGGAACGGAGGGAGUAGUAAGUUUUUAAUGAAACGUUGUGCAUUGAAUGAAUGCAUUGGAAAUUAUAAUAGUUAACUUUUUAAAAAAAUAAUUACUAAAUAUGGGAUGCUUAAGAAUGACUUGAGGGCACUCGUUAACGAGACCCUUUAAAUAAACCAUCCAUUUUUUGACUUCAACUUGACAUCAUAUGCAAAUGCCAGGACAAUUCUUGGACUGUUUCCUCCUGCAUGAAAGUUUCCUGUUCGCAGCCAACGUUUUAGUGUCUAUGCGCUUUAAGUUGAGAUCCUGCUUGUUCAUCGUGUAAAACAAAGUUACUGAUUAUUACUCCUAUUAAACAAGAGAUGUGAUUUUCUAUAAGAUGGGAGACAGCAGCCAUACCUUAAAAUAUUUAUUUGCCCGUUCAUAAUCUUUCAAUUCCAUCAAGCACGAUGUAUUGCCCAGAUUACAAGAAAACCUCAAGCUAACAAUUUCCCUAUCCUCAUCGGGAAAGGAAGUUUCAUACUUUAUAAACUUCAGAGCCUGCAUUACGGUUUCAGUUUCAGAAAAGAUACCUGAUAGAACCCGCAGAAUGAACAAGGUAAUUUUGUAUAUUACUAUCAAAUGAUAAAUAUGAGUGUAGAGGCUCUACAAGGGUGGAAUAACAGAAUGAAAUAGAUAAACCAGAGUCAAAGACUCCUAAAGAGAGCACUAUGCUCCUAACUAGAGAAACUCUAGUAACCAACUCUAACAAUACUUCAGAAUGCCUUCUCCACUACCCAUCCCCUCUCUUUUAUCUCCCUACUCACAUGAGAUUGGUGCACAAGUCACUAACCUACGCGUGUCACGGUGUCCAACACUCGUACGACACUUGUCAGACAAGUGUACUAAAUAAAUAUUUUUCUCCUUUAUUUUGACACUCCUUGGACUGGUACCCAACACCUCUAUAAAACUUAUACUCCAUGAGGCAUGUCAGACAACUCAAACAAAUGUCUGAUUUUUUUUUUCUAUGCUUCCACACAUAGUAUAUUCAAGAGUUAAAGACGUGCGGAAAAUGUUGAUCAACGAAGGGCUAUAAAGUUGAAUACAACGUUUUUAAAUUUUUCGAUAGUAGAUGGAUAAAUAAAGGCCAAAUACUAUUGUAUCUUGUUAUAGACCUUUUUUUAAUGAAAUAAAUUGCUCAAGUAAGAUACAUACGUGAUUCUCAAUUUAGAUCUUUCAUAAAUAAAUUAGUAUACAAGUAGCAGUGUCGGUGUCCUAUGUUUUUUUUACAUUAGUGGUGUCAACGUGUCAGUGUCGGUGCUGUGUCAGAUGUCUGUGUCGGAGUCGCUAACUAACUUAUUAUCUCACUAGCCCUACCUUCCUUCCCCUCAUGCACUCCUAGAUGUUGGGCUUAUGCAGAUUUGUCCUAAUGCUUAGCUCACCAAUGGACCAUAGGCUUAAGUGACCUAUCGCAUUGUAGAUGGUGAAAUAUACUCCCUCCGGUCCUAUUUAUAAGAGAAUUUUGGGUCAACAAAAGUUGAUGUAUCUAGUUAAAAAUUCAGUCCAAAUACAUUCACUUUUGUUGACCUAAAUUUCUCUUAUAAAUAGGACCGGAGGUAGUAUUAAUGUAACCUUGUUAAUUACCUUCUGAAAUCUUUUAGAAGCUCUUGCAUAUUCAGCAGCAUAAACUAAUGCUAGGCCUUCUUGUCACUUCUCACGAGCAGCUUCUAUCUUCUCUUCAGUGUUCAUGUCCGAUACCUCCUUAGCCUAAAGCAAACAAUGAACCAAGGUAUAAAUGCAUAAAGAAAGUUGCAAUGGUAUCCAACCAUUAAUUAUUUGAGAGACAGAACUCAAUGAAAAAACACUUUUAUUUAUUUAUUGAAAAGUGUAAAGUGUAACACUGCUAACCAAUGCUACAUUAUUUCUAAGGAACCUUAACCAUAAGAGCCCCGUAAACACAGUUAAGCAUUUGGCUUUUUUUUUUUUUUGGGGCUGGAGUUCAAACCCCGGUCACGGCGUCCAGCCUAGCAAUUUGGACAUUCUUGCUAGACCAGGAUGAUGGCAACCAAACAACAAUCAUAUUUAUGUCAAGAAAUUCAAUUUAGGUUUGACAAUAGAUACUGAUUAUAAAUAAUGAACAAAGAAAUGAAAAACGGUACAAAAAUGACAAGAAAAAAAUACCAGACUUGGCAAUUGAAGUAAGUAGAAUAAAACUAAAAGGCAGAUCUCUGCUUUGUUAAACACCGGCUGCUAGUGUUCCUUUUCAAUAAUAGAAUUUUAAAAAACAGCAAUGAAAUAUGUCACAAUGCACAAUUGCUAAUUAUCAUCAAGUUAUUUAUUUACCUUUACGAACGAUACUAGCUCAACCUCAUAAUACGGUUGAAUUAGGAGGAACCACUGCCAAUUCCUGCUGAGACUCUGAUGAACCAAAAGCAUAUUCAGGCGUAAUAGUCAACAAAGCUACCUCACCCUUCUUCAUGGUCAGUACAGCUUUAUCAAGCCCAUCAAUCACUUGCUCUGCUCAAUACAAAAAGCAUUCACUUUAUUUGAUUUAAAAACAAAUGAUGGUGAGAGGGUGAAACAUUGGGAAAAUUAAAAUUACCCUCGUCUGUUUUAAAUUCAAACAGAUCCGCUUCAUCAUCAUCACCAUCAUUAUAUCCCUUGUUCAAAAAUACAGUGCCAUCUUGCAGCUUACCAAUUAGUUUUACUACAAAAAUGCAAAAUGAGGAGAUAACACAUCAGAACCGAUGCACUAAAUCCAUUAAAAAAGAGAGCCAUCAUAUCAUAAUAUAUUAGCAAUCAAUCAAUGAUGAAUGAUGAUUUACAUUUCACAAGAGCUCCCUCAUUUGGACGGUACGUCAGCUCCUUCUCCUUCCUUGAGAAGCUGCUUAUGAAAAGUUGCUUUGUUCCAAGAAACUAACCUGAGAGUGAUCUGCAAUGUUGCGUUAGGUGGAACUGAAGCUUCAUCAUGGUGAGCUGGCCUGCCCUUGUCACCAAAUCCAUCUAUAACAGAAUACGAGGAUUUCUAGUUAUGUUCCGUUCUCAAAGAGUAGUGAUGCUUGUUUUGCAAAACUUGUUUAGUUAAUUUCUAGACUACUUACAUUGUGGCUUAACAGUUAAAAUGACUUUUUCUCCGAUCUUCAUGGUCCUAACAGCGAUUGACAAUGCAGGACAAAAAUGACCUAUGAGAUGGCGUAAAAGAAUGUAAGAUCGACCCGGAAAAGGAAAAUACAAGAGAGUAGUAUGUAUAAUAAAACUUGUAGGCAGUGACUGAACGACUAACUGACCAUUGUUGAGUUUGAACUCCACUCCAUCAUCAUCAGAUUUUCUAACAAGAGUUCCAUCAUCAAGACGUGCUUCGUACUUAACUGCAAAGCAAUAACACCAAUUAAGAUCCAGAAAAUGAGAAAAUAAAAAAUGAAAUAUGAUCAUGAAUGUAUAUAUUUAUACCUAAAACAUAAUCAUAAUCAUCAACAUGUUGAUAUUUGUCAUCCCUGGGCUUGAGUAUCUUCUUUACCAAACCUCCAUCCUUACAAAUAUCCUCCGGAUUAGUAUAUUUAACUUUCUUCUUGUAUUUGCUGAGUGGAAUGAUAUAUCUAGCUGGCCAAAUGAAUGGUAACAAUAUCAAUCAAUUCAAUAAAUUGAAUGGCACAAGAAAAUAAAAACCUUCAUCUAAUUAAUUGUAUUUGAGAAUAGUAUUACCAUCAUAUUCAUCAGCAGUAGGAGCAGCAGCUUUCUUCUUGUAUUGAAUCAAAUCCCAUUGUGUGAUGUGUGUCCGUAUAAAUUCAAUAAAUUAAAUGAUUUAAAUCAAUUUAAAAUAAUACAAAAUAAACAAAAACCAACCAAUCAUAACGUUUGUUUAAUAAACUCACUCACUUUUUCCAUACGUAAGUUCAUCAAAUUGAUUGUUAGCGCCGCCGCUAGUCAUUUCCAAAUCAAUCUUCUUUUACCAAAUUCUGGAAUAUAUAUUACAUGAGGUGUUAUGAUGUGAUACUGGAUACUUUCAAUAAAACAAAACAAGGAAUUAACAUGUUCAAUCAAAUUCGACUCUAAUUAUUCAUACUUGUCUUAAACAUAUAAGUACAAGGUACAUAACCAGAAUACAACAUAGUUCUUCACAAUGGAUAAUCAAAACACAUGUCUUAAUCAUUAAGGACAUAAUAUGAUUAUGAUAUAUAGGGAGCUACAUGAUAACUCAUAUCAGUCAACAUGAAAUUUCAUGAGAUAAAACAUAAGACACAACUAAGCUUCAAGUAAAUGGCCUUCUCCUUCCCUUUUGAUACUUGCAGUUCAUAUGAAAUAAAACGUAAAACUAUUGGGAUAAAAUUACAUCUCAGUAAAUUCCUUACUAAAACCCAAAUCAGUCUAAUUCCUGACUAACUACAUUGUAGUCUUCACUAACACAAUUAAUCAAUAUGUAUUCAAGUGAUAUAUGAAAAUUGUAAAUGUGUAUCAUAGAAUAUAUAAUCUUGUCAAUUUUAACUCCGGAUACCCUAAGAGCGAAUAAUCACAGGGUCCCCGCCAACCGGGUGGAAUCAAACCCUUUAUGGUGUAUUUCCCUCACAAUUAUUAUUAAUCAUAGAAGAUAAACUUUCUUGAUUAAUAUAAACACUUCUCAUUAUUCAAAUUCUAGCAUAUUUGUAUAACUUACUACGUACCUUGAUUUACUUUCAAGUAGUCAUAUCUAGUUCAUAUUAGAAUUUCGACGUACCUGCUUAAGUUUUCUACUCAUUGUAGUUACUUACCUAAUCCCUAAGUCUCUAAACUUAUCAUAACAAAGUUUCUACUAAUAAACUAAGAAUUUCCUUUAUACUCAUACACUUUAUACAGGGAAUCAAGCUUAUUGAUAUGAUGAAACCCUAAAUAUUCAUAAAUCAUUAUUAGGAGGUUUGAAAUUUAUCUACAUUCCAAAUAAGUGACAUGUCAUUCAUUUAAUACUCAUAUUCAUUUAAACCCUAAUACCCAGUUCAAAUUUAAGGAACUUACUUGAUAUUGAAGAAGAUGAAUGAAUAUGAGAAAACCCAAGUAUUUGAUUAUAGGUUUCAAAACCCUUGAUUUCACAAUUUCCUCCUUUUCUUCUUACUAAAAAGAGCAGAGAGAGGGGUUGAAAAAGGAGAGAAAGGAGGGAAUUCUGAAAACAUAGGUUUCUUUCUACGGAAUUUAUUCAGUGACUUAAUAUCGGCAGUGACGGAGUCAGGAAAAAAAAGCUUGGGUCGGCCAUAAAUAUUGAUGGAGCUUGAUUUUCUUAUAACUAUAUUUUAUCAUUUUUUUUAAAGGAACUAUAUUUUAUCAUUGGUUAGUUUGAAUAACUAUAGACUUGUUAUUUGUUGAAUAUAGUUCAAGCUAGCAUUUUAAAAUCUGAGUCGAUUAUCAAUCCAGACAAAAUACAAGAUAAUUGAUCGAACAACUAGGUCAUCGAUUGAACCUCACGACUGAAUUGAAUAACUCGCCUUCAUAAACAGACGACUAGUAUUAAAUCAAAUUGAAUCAAACGACUGAGUCAAAAAAAAGUUAAAAUAAAACUCAUGGCAUAUAGUGAUGUAAAAAAUAACAUUACAUAAGAAAGUAUACUUAUAAUCAAGUACAAUAAUGAAAUAUAUAUUUAAUUUAAUGAAGAAUAUAGUUUUUUUUUACCUAAAAAAUAGUGUUUAUACAAUUAAAUAUUUUUAUGAUAUCAUAUUUUUUUAAGGGUAUUUUAAUGUUUAUGUUAUAUGUUAUAAAAGUUAGUUGAGGUCCUCUUUUGAAUAAAAAAUAUGCUAUAUGUUUUAAAAAAGAUUUUUUUUAAAUAGAAUAAAGGAGUUAUGUUUUAUCAACAAUUAUGAAUUUUAAGUUUAGACUUUGCAUUCCCUAAAAAAAAAAAAAAAUUUAGACUUUGCAAUUUGGUUUGGGCAGGAGUUGAACCAAGCACAAAAAGCUUGCCAAAAGGGGGACCAAGUGAAAUAUUCCUUUUUGAAGGAAGAAAGUGAAAUAUUAAAAACAUAACAAAUCUUAUUUCAAUUAUUAUUAUUAUUUUUUAAAAAGUAACAAAUCUUUUUUUAAAAGAAACAAAUUUUUUCACGCUUAUAAAUAACAACAAAUCCUAUUUCUCAAUAAAUUGAUCACACAAGUUUCUAUUUUCAACUAAGUUUCUUCUUCUUUCGAUUCUGAACUCUUAAACCCUCAAAAUCCAAAACCACCGUUUCGCACAACCAUCGCCACCGUGAACCACCUUCAACCCAAAUUCCUAAUCGUUUCGAAGAACAAUCGCCACCGUCAACCCAAAACGCUUCGAACAACCACCGUCAUGUCGAACAACAACCACCAUGUUUCACCACCGGGAACCACCAUCCCUCACUUUCCUCCGCCACCGUCCGAUUCAGAAUCACUUCUCGACGAGAGAGCUAGAAAAUGGAAGAAACUGAACUCAAAUCGUUACUGCGAUAGUCGAAAGUUAGGGUUCAUCGAAUCUCAGAAAGAACUCAUGCCACCGGAACACGUUCGAAAAAUCAUCCGCGAUCACGGUGAUAUGUCAUCAACGAAAUUCCGUCACGAUAAGCGAGUUUAUCUCGGAGCACUGAAAUUCGUACCGCAUGCUAUUUAUAAGCUUCUGGAAAAUAUGCCAAUGCCAUGGGAGCAAGUUCGAGAUGUUAAAGUUCUGUAUCAUGUUUCUGGUGCUAUUACAUUUGUGAAUGAAAUUCCGCUUGUUAUUGAACCAAUUUACAUCGCUCAAUGGAGUACAAUGUGGAUUAUGAUGCGGAGAGAGAAGCGUGAUCGACGAUGUUUUAAGAGGAUGAGGUUCCCACCGUUUGAUGAUGAGGAGCCUGUGAUUGAUUAUGCUGAUAAUCUGUUGGAAGUUGAACCGCUCGAAGCAAUUCACCUUGAGUUAGAUGAAGAGGAGGAUGGUCCUGUGUUUGAUUGGUUUUAUGAUCAUAAGCCACUCGUGAAAACUAAAUUUGUUAAUGGGCUGAGUUAUCGAAAAUGGUGUCUUCCGAUUCCGGUGAUGGAAACUUUGCAUAGGCUUGCUGGGCAGCUUUUGUCUGAUUUGUGUGAUAGGAAUUAUUUCUAUUUGUUUGAUGUGGAGUCCUUUUUUACAGCUAAGGCUUUGAAUAUGUGUAUACCUGGUGGGCCGAAGUUUGAGCCUCUGUAUCGUGACGCGGAGAAAGGAGAUGAAGAUUGGAAUGAGUUUAAUGACAUUCACAAACUUAUUAUAAGGUCAAAACUUAGGACUGAGUAUAGGAUUGCUUUUCCGCAUCUUUAUAACGAUAGGCCGAGGAAAGUAAGGCUUGGUGUUUACCAUACUCCCAUGGUUGUGUAUGUGAAGGCUGAUGAUCCUGAUUUACCUGCAUUUUAUUAUGAUCCCUUGAUACACCCGAUAGCUGGUGCUGGUAACAAAGAGCGGUGCGAGAUGGAAAUCUGCAAUGAGGAUGAUGAUGACUGGAUUUUGCCUGAUGGUGUGGAACCUUUUCUCAAAGAUGUGGAGCUUUAUACCGACACUACCACUGAUGGAAUGUCAUUGCUUUUUGCUCCCCGUCCUUUUAACAUGAGAUCGGGCCGAAUGAGGCGUGCAGAAGACAUUCCUCUUGUGUCAGAAUGGUACAAGGAGCAUUGUCCUCCAUCGUAUCCGGUUAAAGUGAGGGUUAGUUAUCAAAAGUUGCUCAAGUGUUUUGUGUUGAAUGAACUGCAUCAUAGACCUCCUAAGCCUCAACAAAAGAAGAACUUAUUCAGAUCACUUCAAGCGACAAAGUUUUUCCAGACCACAGAACUUGAUUGGGUUGAAGCAGGUCUUCAAGUUUGUAAGCAGGGGUACAACAUGUUGAAUCUGUUGAUACACAGGAAAAAUUUGAACUACCUUCACCUUGAUUAUAAUUUUAAUUUGAAGCCUGUCAAAACCUUGACUACAAAAGAGCGUAAGAAAUCACGAUUUGGUAAUGCUUUUCAUCUCUGUCGUGAGAUCCUUCGUUUGACGAAACUUGUGGUGGAUGCCAAUGUUCAGUAUCGCUUGGGUAAUGUUGAUGCUUUUCAGCUGGCGGAUGGCCUCCAAUAUACUUUCUCUCAUGUUGGUCAAUUGACCGGUAUGUAUCGAUACAAGUAUAGGCUUUUGCGACAAAUAAGAAUGUGCAAAGACUUGAAACACUUGAUUUACUACCGUUUUAACACUGGCCCUGUCGGGAAGGGACCCGGUUGUGGGUUUUGGGCACCGAUGUGGAGGGUUUGGUUAUUCUUUCUUCGUGGUAUUGUGCCCCUUCUUGAACGAUGGCUUGGAAAUUUACUGGCACGACAGUUUGAGGGACGCCACUCUAAAGGAGUGGCGAAGACCGUAACUAAGCAACGUGUUGAAAGCCAUUUUGACUUGGAGCUUCGGGCAGCUGUUAUUCACGAUGUGGUUGAUGCCAUCCCGGAGGGUAUGAAGGAGACCAAGUCAAGAGUUAUAUUGCAGCAUUUGAGUGAAGCAUGGCGAUGCUGGAAGGCAAAUAUUCCUUGGAAGGUCCCUGGUAUGGCUGUUCCAAUAGAGAAUAUGAUCCUUCGAUAUGUGAAAUCAAAAGCAGAUUGGUGGACAAAUGUCACCCAUUAUAAUCGUGAGCGUAUAAGAAGAGGAGCAACUGUUGAUAAGACUGUUUGUCGCAAGAAUCUUGGAAGAAUGACUCGUCUUUGGCUGAUGGCAGAGCAGGAGCGCCAAUGCAAUUAUUCAAAAGAUGGCCCAUAUGUUACUCCUGAAGACGGUGUUACUAUUUAUACAACUAUAGUCCAUUGGUUAGAAUCUCGGAAGUUCUCCCAUAUUCCAUUUCCACCUCUAUCAUACAAGCAUGAUACAAAGCUGCUUAUCCUUGCACUUGAGAGGUUGAAGGAAUCCUACAGUGGUUCAGCAAGAUUAAAUCAAUUUCAAAGAGAAGAGUUGGGGCUGAUUGAACAAGCUUAUGACAAUCCACACGAGGCAUUAUCACGAAUCAAACGACACCUCCUCACCCAACGUGCAUUCAAAGAAGUUGGAAUAGAGUUUAUGGAUUUAUAUGGUUACUUGAUUCCGGUUUACGAAAUAGAGCCUCUGGAGAAAAUUACAGAUGCAUAUCUUGAUCAAUAUCUGUGGUAUGAAGGGGACAAACGUCAUCUAUUUCCUAACUGGAUCAAGCCAGCAGAUUCAGAGCCACCACCUCUUUUAGUUUACAAAUGGUGUCAAGGUAUAAAUAAUUUGGAAGGCAUCUGGGACACCAGUGAUGGUCACUGCGUUGUGAUGUUGCAGACCAAAUUUGAGAAGUUUUUCGAGAAGAUUGAUAUACUAAUGUUAAAUAGGCUUCUCCGUUUGGUUCUAGACCACAACAUUGCUGAUUAUAUCACUGCAAAAAACAAUGUUGUGUUGUCAUACAAGGAUAUGAGCCACACGAAUAAAUAUGGUCUUAUACGUGGACUACAGUUUGCCUCCUUUGUUGCUCAGUAUUAUGGCCUGAUAUUGGAUCUCUUGCUUCUUGGAUUGACUCGAGCGAGAGAGAUUGCUGGUCCGCCGCAGAUGCCUAACGAGUUCAUUACUUAUUGGGACACUAAAGUUGAGACCAGGCAUCCAAUUAGGCUGCAUUCCCGGUACAUAGAUAAAGUUUAUAUGUUAUUUCGUUUCACACAUGAGGAGGCUCGGGAUCUCAUUCAGAAAUAUCUCACUGAACACCCUGAUCCUAACAAUGAGAACAUGGUGGGGUACAAUAAUAAGAAGUGCUGGCCAAGAGAUGCAAGAAUGAGGCUCAUGAAGCAUGAUGUCAAUCUUGGGAGGAGUGUCUUUUGGGAUAUGAAAAACCGUCUUCCUCGAAGCAUCACAACACUGGAAUGGGAAAACAGCUUCGUUUCUGUUUACAGCAAAGAUAAUCCAAACUUGCUUUUUAGCAUGUGUGGAUUUGAAGUGCGGAUACUUCCUAAAAUUAGAACGACUCAAGAAGCAUUCGGUAACACAAGAGAUGGUGUUUGGAAUCUCCAGAAUGAACAAACCAAAGAAAGGACAGCUACUGCUUUCUUAAGAGUUGAUGAUGAACAGAUUAAAAUGUUUGAGAAUCGUGUGAGGCAGAUUCUUAUGUCUUCGGGUUCUACUACAUUCACAAAAAUUGUCAAUAAGUGGAAUACAGCUUUAAUAGGACUCAUGACUUACUUCCGAGAGGCAACUGUACAUACUCAAGAGUUGUUGGAUUUGCUUGUCAAAUGUGAAAAUAAAAUUCAGACCCGUAUCAAGAUAGGACUCAACUCAAAGAUGCCUAGCAGAUUUCCGCCUGUCAUUUUCUACUCGCCCAAGGAAGUUGGAGGACUUGGGAUGUUGUCUAUGGGUCACAUUUUGAUUCCACAAAGUGAUAUACGUCACAAUCAGAAGACAGAUGUUGGUGUAACCCACUUCAGAAGUGGGAUGAGUCAUGAGGAGGGUCAGUUGAUUCCCAGCCUUCAUCGUUAUAUACAGCCCUGGGAAAGGGAGUUCAAUGAUUCACAACGUGUCUGGGCUGAAUAUGCAGUGAAAAGGCAGGUAGCACAAGCACAGAAUAGGCGCUUGACCCUUGAGGAUUUGGAAGACUCAUGGGACCAAGGGAUUCCACGUAUUAACACUUUGUUUCAGAAGGAUAGACACACUUUGGCUUAUGAUAAAGGAUGGAGGGUACGUUUAGACUUCAAGCAGUAUCAAGUUUUAAAACAAAAUCCCUUCUGGUGGACACACCAGAGGCAUGAUGGGAAGUUGUGGAACUUGAAUAAUUACCGAACUGAUGUUAUUCAAGCUCUUGGAGGAAUUGAACAAAUUCUUGAACACACUUUAUUCAAAGGAACAUAUUUUCCAACUUGGGAAGGUCUCUUCUGGGAAAAAGCAUCAGGUUUUGAGGAAUCUAUGAAGUAUAAGAAGCUCACCAAUGCACAAAGAUCUGGUCUCAACCAGAUACCCAACCGUAGAUUUACGCUUUGGUGGUCACCAACCAUUAACCGAGCCAAUGUUUAUGUUGGUUUCCAGGUGCAGCUAGAUCUGACUGGUAUUUUCAUGCAUGGGAAAAUUCCAACUUUGAAGAUAUCUCUUAUUCAGAUAUUCAGAGCUCACUUGUGGCAGAAGAUCCAUGAGAGUGUUGUCAUGGAUCUUUGUCAGGUAUUGGAUCAAGAGUUGGACGCUUUGGAGAUUGAAACUGUCCAGAAGGAAACAAUCCAUCCUAGGAAGAGUUACAAAAUGAACAGUUCUUGUGCAGACAUCCUUCUCUUUGCUGCCCACAAAUGGCCAAUGUCAAAGCCUAGUCUUGUAGCUGAAUCUAAGGAUGUUUUUGAUCAGAAGGCAAGCAAUAAGUAUUGGAUUGAUGUUCAGCUUCGAUGGGGUGAUUAUGAUUCUCACGAUAUUGAGCGUUACACCAGGGCUAAAUUUAUGGAUUACACAACAGAUAAUAUGUCUAUAUACCCAUCUCCUACUGGGGUUAUGAUUGGCCUUGAUUUGGCAUAUAACUUGCAUUCUGCAUUUGGGAACUGGUUCCCUGGAUCAAAGCCACUACUUCAGCAGGCCAUGAAUAAGAUUAUGAAGUUAAAUCCUGCAUUGUAUGUUUUGAGGGAACGAAUCAGGAAAGGUCUGCAGUUGUACUCUUCUGAGCCCACUGAACCAUAUUUGUCUUCCCAAAAUUAUGGAGAGAUAUUCAACAACCAAAUCAAAUGGUUUGUUGAUGACACUAAUGUGUAUCGCGUUACAAUUCAUAAGACUUUUGAAGGAAAUCUUACAACAAAACCCAUCAAUGGUGCCAUUUUUAUCUUCAAUCCAAGGACUGGGCAGUUGUUUCUUAAGGUUAUCCAUACGAGUGUAUGGGCCGGUCAGAAGCGUCUCGGCCAACUGGCGAAGUGGAAAACAGCAGAAGAAGUUGCUGCUCUUGUAAGGUCUUUGCCUGUAGAAGAAGAGCCAAAGCAAAUUAUUGUUACCCGUAAAGGAAUGUUGGACCCGUUGGAGGUUCACUUGUUGGAUUUCCCCAAUAUUGUUAUCAAAGGAAGUGAGCUGCAACUUCCUUUCCAAGCAUGCUUGAAAAUUGAGAAAUUUGGGGAUCUUAUUUUGAAGGCCACAGAACCACAAAUGGUUUUGUUCAACAUUUACGACGACUGGCUGAAGAGCAUUUCCUCAUACACUGCAUUCUCCAGGCUGAUUCUUAUUCUGCGUGCACUUCAUGUGAAUAAUGAAAAGGCAAAGAUGUUACUGAGGCCUGACAUAACUGCUGUCACUGAACCUCAUCACAUCUGGCCUUCUCUAAGUGAUGACCAGUGGAUGAAGGUGGAGGUUGCAUUAAGAGAUCUUAUACUUUCUGAUUAUGCAAAGAAAAACAAUGUGAAUACUUCAGCUUUGACCCAGUCUGAGAUUCGUGAUAUUAUACUUGGAGCUGAGAUUACUCCCCCUUCACAACAGCGGCAACAGAUUGCAGAGAUUGAAAAACAGGCACGCGAAGCAAAUCAGGUGACAGCUGUAACAACACAGACUACAAAUGUUCACGGUGAAGGACUGAUUGUAACCACCACUAGUCCCUAUGAGCAAGCUGCUUUUGGUUCGAAGACUGAUUGGCGUGUCAGAGCAAUAUCAGCCACAAAUUUAUACCUUCGAGUAAACCAUAUAUAUGUGAAUUCGGAGGACAUAAAGGUUUCUUCAUUUCUUUAAAUCUUGUUAAUUGUUUUUAUACUCAUUAAGUCACAACUCCUAUCAUGUUUUAACUUUGAAUUUUGCGGUGCAGGAAACGGGCUAUACUUAUAUCAUGCCAAAGAACAUUUUGAAAAAGUUUAUAUGCAUAGCAGAUCUUCGAACACAGAUUUCUGGGUAUUUGUAUGGUAUAAGUCCUCCUGACAAUCCUCAGGUUAAGGAAAUCCGGUGCAUUGUGAUGCCACCACAGUGGGGGACUCAUCAACAUGUCCAUCUCCCAUCAGAUCUGCCAGAACAUGAUUUCUUGAAUGAUUUGGAGCCUUUGGGAUGGAUGCAUACUCAACCAAAUGAAGUUCCGCAGUUGUCGCCUCAGGUUGGAUUACUUUAGUUUCAAUUGCAACUUUUUUUUUUGUUGCCUUUUUUCAAGGAAAUAUAUUAAUGAAUAGUGGUAACAUUGUCUAACCUGAGAAAUUAUCAUUGCAGGAUCUCACUUCACAUGCUAAGGUCCUAGAGAACAAUAAACAAUGGGAUGGGGAGAAGUGUAUUAUCUUGACUUGCAGUUUUACUCCGGGUUCUUGUUCUUUAACUGCAUAUAAACUAACUCCAUCUGGUUAUGAAUGGGGACGUAUUAACAAGGAUACAGGAAGCAACCCACAUGGUUAUCUUCCCACUCAUUAUGAGAAGGUUCAGAUGCUCCUCAGUGAUCGCUUCAUUGGUUUCUACAUGGUAAGCUUUACUGCUUCCUGAAGUUUUCCUACUAUUAUUUCUUCGCAUAUUUUUUAUUUUAUGUUUUAUUUCUUCGCAUAUGAUUGAAUGACAGAAAUAUAAUUAUAUUAAAUUUAUCGUAUUAUCAAGUAAUGGUUAUAUUUCUUAAUGCAAUUACAGUCUUGUUAUUAUUGUCAUUAUUAUUUUACUGAAUGUUUAAAAUUUUUUUUUUUUUUUUUUUUGUCACAAUUUCCUAGAUUCCUGAUAAUGGUCCAUGGAAUUACAACUUUAUGGGAGUGAGGCACGCAUCAGGCAUGAAGUAUGGAGUGAAGCUUGGGACCCCUAGGGAGUAUUACCAUGAAGAUCAUAGGCCAACCCAUUUCUUAGAGUUCAGCAAUAUGGAGGAAGGGGAGACAAUCGCCAAGGGAGAUCGAGAGGAUACAUUCUCUUAGAGUGUGUUUGAGUUGGAGAUUGUAAAAAGGUAAAAUACUUUUGAGGGAUUUAAAAUGAUUUGUCUUAGUUGUAGCACUAUUUCUUCAAACACUAUCAAGUGGUAUGUUGUAGCAUUGCUAUAUUGAACACUGUUCUGGAAAUUUCAACAUGUUCUAUAAUUUCUUUUUGAAUUUUUGUUGGUUGAUUCUGUUUGUGCUGAGAUCAAAGCCUUGAAGCUUUAUUAACUACUUAGUGAAAGUCAUUGAUGAGGUUACCUCUAAUUUCUCAAUUACUGGUAUUUUUGUGUAUUGGUUUUGUGCUCUGAUAUUUAGUAGGUGAAAUUGCCACUGCUUAUAUUCAGUUUCGAAGAUUGAUUGAUAAACUCAGUCAAACAUAGCUCUACUAAGUAAAUAAGAAAUCUAAUGGAAGUUAUAAUUUUCAUUUUCUCUUCAAGUGCCUGUGUGUGAAGUUUCAGCUGUAGAACAAGUUAGAAAAAACACUUACAAGGAGUACUUUUUGAAUCAAAACAUUGUAUUUCUAGCCUUAAAACCUGUUAAACUUGCUUGCAAAGUCUUCGUAUGCUUGCUGGAAUAGAAUACCUUGAUAUAUGUUAACUAGCUAUAUGUUUUUUUAGACUCUUUUUUAGUAAGUUUUAUUCACAUAUAUGUAAAUCAAAGUUUAUCUGGUUUAUCUAGCGGUUCUUAUCCAAACACCAAAUUGAUAGGGGGUUGCAAAUUACUAUUUUUCCAGUUUUCUUGUUAAAACCUAUACAUAGUUUCUUCCUUUUGUUUGUUUUAUAGAUCCACUUAAAUGAAUUCUAUCUUGGGUUAUUGACUCCACUCAUGUACAUGUUUUGAGAGUUUGAACCUCAGUCCCCAUAACUCAUUUUCAACAAUUUUAAAUUUGAUAUUCAAUUAUCUGCACAAGUCAAAAUCUUUAUCUCUUGUGGGUUUUCAAUUUCUCACUUGUUUUUGUUUCCAUGACUUACUGAAUGUAGUAGUCCUUAUUUGUAGUAUAUAGUUUCCUUGUUUAUUAGUUGUGACAAGAUAUAAGCAUAUGGAGCUAUAUUGUCUGGUCAAAGCUAGGCAGUGAUAAAGUUGUGCUUCUUGACAACUAAUGGCAGGUUGGGUGGGAUGAUAAAAUCGUCCUCCCAAAUUAUCAGUUGCUUCUGCCCAUUGGUUUAGAACCCAAUGUUGCAAAAGUUAGACUCAACAGUAAAGGGAAACUUGGAAGAAAUGUAUGCUUAUGCAUUAGUAUUGUUUCCUUUAUUGCUGAGAUUUGAUUAUAUGUAACAAAUUCUGCAUGAAUAUCAGUUAUAAUUGAAUUUGAUAUCUGACUAGAUGCUAGGAUAAUAGCUAAGUUUUUUUUUUUGUUUUUGAAAAAGGAUAAUAACCAAGUUAUAAUUACUCAAGUUCUUUCAUAGUCAAUGCAUCAACUGCUUAAGUAUAUGAUGAUAGUUAUGGGCAAUAGUUAGAUUAGGUUAGUUAUGGGAAAUAGUUAGAUUAACACGGAGAACUUCAUUGUCACCAAGUAAAUUAUAUUUGUAUGGAAACUAUAUAUAUUCAUAGUCUACCAAUCUAAAAUAAUGGUAUGGAAUAGUUAGUGGCAUGUGAAACAUAGAAACAUAGGGUAUUUUGUUUGAUAUUGUUGACGAAGAUGAAGGUAGUGGCAUGUGAAACAUGUGACCGUUACCUUCCUCUCCAGUGUCUCCAAGGAACAUUUUGUUUCCAUGAUCAUACUCCAUGAUAAUAAUUAUUACAGCCAGUAAUUUAUUCAGCUAAAUAUGCCUUUGUUGUUGAAUAUGUCAAGCUUGUUUAAUUUUUGUUGUUGGUGAUUUAUUGAAUGAAUCGGUCUAGCUAGAAGUUAGGACUGCCUUUUCUGUUUUUUUUUUUUUUUACAAGUCCAUGGUUUCAGCCUUUGUUAUAACUUAGAAGAAGCCUUUCACCCAUGGUUCAGAUUUAUUCAGACUGGUUUCAAUGGUUUAGAAUUGUGCAGUAUCUGUGUAGAGAUUCCUUUAUUUUGGUUAACAAAUCUGGAUAUAGGUUGUCGAUUGUGUUACUUACACUCCUCACUUGGAUAGUAGGUAUGUAUGUAUGUAUCUAUUUUUUGUAUACAUUUGGAUUCUUGUUGCGCAUAAAAUAACAUUUUCAAUUUCUAAUAUUUUAGCAUGGUUGGGAUGAUUGUUUUGGAGAUUGAUUCAUCUAGUUAGCGACUAACUGGUUUUGUAUAUCUCUGUAACGUAGUGGUGAAGAUGUUUGAUUACGGCUGGAUCCUUGUGGAGCUGGGACAGUCUAUAUUAGAUUAACUUUCAGUGGGGCGUUGGAUUUGGCGGCUGUUUUUGGUAACAAUGAGCUAGAAUUAUCACACACUGUUAUUUUGUUUGUACUAAAUUUACAGGUUUUGCUCAGCUAGAACUUGAAUUACAUAGUCACUGCACAUUGAGAAUGUCUCAACUAUUGUUACACUGAACUGUUAGCAAUACUUGUUGGCAAAUGGUUAGAGAAAUAAAUUUCUGUGUUAGUUUUGUUUUUUAAGUAAUCAAUGUACAACUCCUCCAAAAGUAAUCAUGUACAAUGAAUUUUUGAAUUCUUUAUUUCGCAUGAAUGGUCUCUAUUCCACUAAGCAGGAAUGACAGAACUCACAAGUGCUAAGGAUUUGAGUGCUAAACUCACCUUUCAUAUAGGAUCACGAUUCAUAUUUCUACACGGUACCAAAGGAUCAUAAUUUAACCAAUGAAUCUGUUUUUUUUGCAUAAACAAAUUUAAAGAUAAUUUUUUCACAUUUAGUUGAGGAUAAUAGAUAAUUGCAAAAAAUCAGUAAAAAAGCUUAAAAUGAACGAAAGAAUCACUUUUUAUUGUAAUUUUUACUUCCCAGAAACUCUAAUAAAAACAUUUGAGGAUAAGUAUUGAUAUUUGCGAGUGAGCUUGGUCUUGCUAAUUUCAUCCCUGAAAAUUGAUUCAAACUAUAUGCUCUUUUUAUUCAACAACGCAUCAUUAUUGCCAUCAUUUGGCAUUUGGGUUGUUGAGAGAGUCACAUCUUAAUUAGUAUGCAAACAAAUGUUAACAGAGACUAAUAACAUAAAAUAAUAUAUGUGGAGACUAAAAUCAUAUUUAAAACUUUUUUCUAUUACAUUUCUCACGUAGUUAUCAUUUACACCACAUAUCAUUCAAUCAGUACAUAUAACUCAAUAUCAUGGAGAAUCUAAAUCCUUAAUUUUCCUUUUCAAUUUUAUUUAGAAUCACUACUCAAGGACAUAAAUAUCAUUGUCUUGGUGUGGAUUCUUCCCUUUUCAACUUUGCUCUUUUUCUACAAUAUGAUGCCUCAUUUAGUCACUCAUCUAAUUUAUCUCAUCACUAUGAUCUAAUUAUGUUGUCUCGUGUAUGCAAGCCCGACUAACUCCUACAAUAGUCUCUGAGCGUGUAGCCGAAUGGUAUGAAAAAGGUUCAAAAUUCGAUCUCUACGGUUAAUAAAUUUUUUCCUCCUCCUAACAAAAUUUACUGCUAACAUUUGCCUAUAAAAGAAAAAUAAAAACCAACUCUUACAAUAUGACCAUGGUGAAAAUUACUACUUGCCCUGAAUAUGUAGCAUGUAUGCAUCAAUUCAACUAAUGUACAUCAUCAUCACUUGUGUGUAUUAGACUCCAAUAUCAUAUACAUAUCACCAUGUGCAUUCAAUCCAUUAAGACAUUUACAACGGAAUUUCACUUUAUCUAGACUAGUGUUCAACCGUUAUCAAUGUUUGUGGUAUGUCUUGUUCUUUUUUGGACUCAUGAUGCUCAACAAAAUCAUCAUUAUGGUGGUGUUCUUCCUCGCUGCCGCCACCAAAUUCAUCUCCCACCUCCACAACUGUGCCGAAUUGAACACGACGCUCUCCACCGCCGCCACCAACAGGGGAAUGAGAAGGGGAUUUUGUACCACGAGGGCUUCUAACAGCAGUAGCAGCUGUUUGUGGAGAUUUUGGUGUCCAAAUUGCACCAGUAUUACCAUAAUUGUUUGUAUGAUGUUCAUCAAAUUGAACAUUAAUAGGUCUAAUGCAUCUAUAUAUCAAGAUGAGAAACCAAGAUAGCCAUGGAAUUGCAACCAAUGCCAUGCCUGCAAAGAGAUACCAUGGUAAAGAUUCAGAAUCUGGUAGGAAUAUGUACAUGCAAAGGAAAAUUCCUCCUCCAAUUGUGCAUGCAAAGAAAAAACAAGAGAUGACGUAUAUUCUAACAUCUCCCUUUCUAUCCCCCAUUGAAGAGGAAGAUCAAUAACAAGGACAACAAUUUUUUUCUAUAUUAAUUGUUUUGUUGGAGGAUUUUGCAGAAGAUGAAUGCAUGGUUGUUUGUUAAGAACCAAAGAUUAGAAAGUUUCAAAGAAGGGAGGGGAAACAUUGAAGCGUUGAAAUCGGGAGAUAGUUUGUUGCUCAAGCAAAUAUGACGUUUGAGAUUGUCUAUAUUUUAUAUAUAUACAAUUAAAUAAAAUGAAUAGGCUCAAAAUAUUUAUGUGCACAGUAUAUAUUUUCACGAUACUUUGUUAAAAUAAACACGGUGCAUUUUUAACUCGAUACGAAGCCUUUUGAAAUUAUUAGUUGUAUUCACUAUAUUUUCUCCUUUUUUUCGUAACGGUGUAAACACCUUUUACUUUUUUUUCACUUUCAUUAAGAAAAAAAUGGUAGUGUAGAAGUCUUAGUUCAAGGUCGGACGUCGUGAUCCGGGUUUGAACCCGGGACCUCACAGUUAUGGGAGUUUAAUUUCAAGUGGAUUACCACUUCGUCUAAGACAAAAAAGAAAUGGUAGUGUAGUUAAUGCGUGCAUUUUAUGUAUACAUAUAUACCUAAAAUGUAUAUGAUAAACUUUACUUUUUCUUAUUUCAAGACAGUUAGUGAUAUCUGUUACUAGUUUAUUGGAAAAAGAAAGAAUAAAUGUACCUAGUGAUUUAUAUGACCUCGCACGUUGCGUUGCGUGGGGUUUAUUUUAUCAAAAUGAUUAUUUGUAGGUUAUAAGUGCUCAUAAUCAAAUAUACCAGCAAAUUCACUACGAAACAAACUCUUUGUUGGCAUUCGCAAACAAGGAAACAAAUUUUGUCAACAUUAACAAAGAAGCAUAACUACAACAAAACUAUUGAAUUAAACUAGCUGGAACUAUCUAUAAGGUUAGGCUCCAAAGACGUUGUUCUUUAUGAAGAACCAUAUGGAAACAAGAUAAAUCUAUGCUUAGGCUCCAAUAUUGGUCUUAAGCAAGAAAUUCAUUGCAUAGAGAUCAUUAAUUUUGUAAUAUGGAAACCUAAACCACUUGUUAAUUUCAUAACACAUUGGUUACAGUUUUGUGUUUCAAUAUUAAAUAGUUUUCUUCUGUCCAAGAUUACCUUUUGCUCUGGCUUCAUAUACAUAUUUAACUGUAAAUAGUGAAUUGAAACCUGAUUGAGUCUUUUAGUUAUAUACUCAUGCUUGAGCAAUAUGUUAGUAUCAAAUCUGAUCAUGAAUUCAAACUGAUUGAGAAUCAAAUCUCACUAGUUACUACUUUUACAAAUUGAUUAGGCACAUGAUUCAAAAUAGGAAAUUAUUGUAGUAUAAAGUAGAUAUGACAACACCUCUUUCAUGCUAGACAUGAAAAACAAACACCAAAGGAUAAAAUCACAAAUAUGAAAAAAGCCAAAUAGUUUUUUUUUUUUUUUUUGUUCAAGUAGCCUAGUGGCUAGAGCUCACACAUUUUAAUGCGGAGAAGUGGGGUGUCCAGGGUUCGAACCCCGGCCCCUGCAUAUAUUAUGCAUUGUCCCUACUAACUAAGCUAAGCUCAUAGGGACAAAGCCAAAUAGUUCUAUUAGCCUACAAAAAUAAAGACCACUAUGGAAAUCUUUACUUAAGAUAAAAUCAACCAGACUCUUAUGUUCCAAGUAUAAAAAUAGCAUUAACAAUACGAAAAAACACACCAACAAAC
rnacentral:lncRNA from 1 species